ACGAAAAUUAAAAAUUUAUUUCAGUUUCAAAUCUCAGUUAAAAACAUAGAAAAUGAACAAAAAUAAAAAAACCUCUAUCCCCAAAAUUGAUGAACACAAUCUAGCCUCAAUUUCAGUUUUUACUCAUCAAUCUCAAAAACUCAAGACCGCCAACAUUUCAAAAUUUUCAAACCACUUAAUUUAAUUAAAAUAAAAAGAAACUCAUAAUCAAUCAUUCUAACAAAACUCAUUUGAUCGACCUGAUGACAUGUUGGUUUGAAGUAUUAUUUGUAGAAGCCCAAAAUUUGCCCAGCCUAAUAACAAACUCCUAAACCCAUUAAAACCCUUAACCCAUUAGGCCCAUUUAAAUUCAUUUACAUUAAAAUCCAACAGUAGCCCAAACACUAAAACCUAAAAUCAAAAACAAACAAAAAAACCCUAAAUCUAAGCCUAGCCGCCGCCUCCAUCCCAUCAUCUCUGUCAGCCACCACCUGCUCCACCGCCCCAACUGCUCCUGCAAGAGAAACACGCAAACAACAGUAGAGAAAUAAUAAGAAAUAGGUGUAAAUGGCUUUAAAAAGCCAAGAAAAGAACACUUUGUACUCUCUACAAAAUUUUUUAUCAAUAUUAAUAGAGUUAAACACAAAGCAGUAAUAAAAAGAAAGAAAUCGCGAAUCUAGCAACAAAAAAGCAGAAGAAUGGUUCGAAAUCGGAAAAUCGAAAUAUCAAAAAUCAAAAUCGAAAAGUCCAAGGUGAUUUUUAUUUUUUUCUUCCCUAUUUUUGAGUUUAUUCCUCAUAUAUAUACACGGAUAUUAAAAGCAUAAAAAAUAUAAAAAAAAUUACUUUUUGACGAUUUUCGACCACCGUGUACGGUGGCUGGCGCGGCGGACGGCGUGGGGGACGACGACCGGCCCGGCGAUUGGAAAUCUGAGACUGAGAGAGAGAAGAGGAGAGGAUUAGAGAGAAUUUACUCUUGUUUUUUUUUUUGAGGGAG
rnacentral:lncRNA from 1 species